rnacentral:rRNA from 1 species
UCGAGCUACUACGGUAGUGAAGCCAUUGAUGCCAUGCUUCCAGGAAAAGCCUCUAAGCUUCAGAUUGUAAGGAAUCGUACCCCAAACCGACACAGGUGGUCGAGUAGAGAAUACUAAGGCGCUUGAGAGAACUCGGGUGAAGGAACUAGGCAAAAUGGUACCGUAACUUCGGGAGAAGGUACGCUCCUAGCGGUGAUGAGACUUGCUCUCUAAGCUGCCGGGAGUCGCAGAUACCAGGUGGCUGCAACUGUUUAUUAAAAACAUAGCACUGUGCUAAAUCGUAAGAUGACGUAUACGGUGUGACGCCUGCCCGGUGCUUGAAGGUUAAUUGAUGGGGUUAGACUUCGGUCGAAGCUCUUGAUCGAAGCCCAAGUAAACGGCGGCCGUAACUAUAACGGUCCUAAGGUAGCGAAAUUCCUUGUCGGGUAAGUUCCGACCUGCACGAAUGGCGUAAUGAUGGCCACGCUGUCUCCACCCGAGACUCAGUGAAAUUGAAAUCGCUGUGAAGAUGCAGUGUACCCGCGGCUAGACGGAAAGACCCCGUGAACCUUUACUACAGCUUGGCACUGAACAUUGACCCUACAUGUGUAGGAUAGGUGGGAGCCUUUGAAGCACGUACGCCAGUAUGUGUGGAGGCAAUCUUGAAAUACCACCCUUGUA